rnacentral:rRNA from 1 species
CCUACGGGUGGCAGCAGUGAGGAAUAUUGGUCAAUGGCCGGAAGGCUGAACCAGCCAAGCCGCGUGCAGGACGAAGGUGCCAAGCAUUGUAAACUUCUUUUGUCAAGGGACAAAAUCAGGCUCGAGAGCCUGACCGAGGGUACUUGAAGAAAAAGCAUCGGCUAACUCCGUGCCAGCAGCCGCGGUAAUACGGGGGAUGCGAGCGUUAUCCGGAUUUAUUGGGUUAAAAGGGUGCGUAGGCGGGCUGGUAAGUCAGCGGUAAAAUCCCGGGGCUAAACCCCGGCGAGCCGUUGAAACUGGCUGGCUUGAAAUGUCGAGCGGUAUGCGGAAUGCGCAGUGUAGCGGUGAAAUGCUUAGAUAUUGCACAGAACACCGAUUGCGAAGGCAGCAUACCGGCGGCGAUCUGACGCUGAGGCACGAAAGCGUGGGUAUCGAACAGGAUUAGAUACCCGAGUAGUC